rnacentral:rRNA from 1 species
GACGAACGCUGGCGGCGUGCUUAACACAUGCAAGUCGAACGGGAGAAUUUGAGAGCUUGCUCUUAGAGAAUCUAGUGGCACACGGGUGAGUAACACGUAGACAACCUGCCGACAGGAUGGGGACAACAUUCCGAAAGGAAUGCUAAUACCGAAUGAAGCGGAGGAGAAGCAUCCCUCCGCCGUGAAAGAUGGUCUCUGAAUAUGCUAUCACCUGUCGAUGGGUCUGCGUCUGAUUAGCUAGUUGGGUAGGUAACGGCUCACCAAGGCGACGAACGGGAGCCGGUCUUGGGAGGGUGACGGCCAACAUUGGACCGGAGCCCGGCCCCAGCCUCCUACGGGGGCAGCCGGGGGGGAACCUCCGGCAAGGGCGCAAGCCUGGCGGGACCACGCCGCGUGGGUUGAGGAGGGCUUCGGAUCGUUAAGCUCUGUUGACGGGGACGAACGUGCGAAGGGUGAAUAAGCCUUUGUAAUGACGGUACCUGACGAGGAAGCCACGGCUAACUACGUG